rnacentral:tRNA from 1 species
CGGAGUGUAGCUCAGCCUGGUAGAGCACCGUCUUCGGGAGGCGGGGGCCGCCGGUUCAAGUCCGGCCACUCCGACCA